rnacentral:tRNA from 1 species
GUUGUGGCUCAGCGGUAGAGCACUCGCCUAGCAUAUGCAAGGCCCUGGGUUCCAUUCUCAGCACGACA